GCUUCGGCUGUCCGAGAAGCAGGUCAAGAUCUGGUUCCAGAACCGGCGCGUUAAGCGCAAGAAG
rnacentral:miRNA from 1 species